rnacentral:rRNA from 1 species
AUUGAACGCUGGCGGCAGGCCUAACACAUGCAAGUCGAACGAGUGGCGGACGGGUGAGUAAUGUCUGGGAAACUGCCUGAUGGAGGGGGAUAACUACUGGAAACGGUAGCUAAUACCGCAUACCAUCAGAUGUACCCAGAUGGGAUUAGCUUGUUGGGGGGGUACCGGCUCACCAAGGCGACGCUCCAUAGCUGGUAUGAAAGGAUGACCAGCCACACUGGAACUGGGACACGGGCCAGACUCCUCGUGGAGGCAGCAGUGGGGAAUAUUGCACAAUGGGCGAAAGCCUGAUGCAGCCAGGCCGCGGGUAUGAAGAAGGCCUUCGGGUUGUAAAGUACUUUAGCGGGGAGGCGUUACCCGCAGAAGAAGCACCGGCUAACUCCGUGCCAGCAGCCGCGGUAAUAC